CGGCCCCGCCCCUUCUGAUGCCCCUCAUCCUCCUCCAUCCGCGCGCUCUCGUGGAGUUUUGGAGCGUCACGUUAUGAUGGAGCGCGCGCUCCCGCGUCGCUCCCGGUCCCUAUAUCUGUCAUCCGCCACAAGAGCUGACAUCACGCAGAGGAUUACAAUGUCAAAUGUUUUAGGGUCGCGUCGCGGCGAGUUUAUGGCUUCCCCGCACGCGCUUCAGAGGAAUUCCCGUCACCACUUUCUCGAACAACCGAUCAAAUAUUAACUUUGACGAGGUCCUCUCCUCACAGCCCCACGCAGGAUGCAUUCAAGUUAAGAAGGUAUGUGCGUGUGAGCUCCUCCUCCAUCAUGCUGGGGCCCCAACUGGACCGCAACCGCCUGGUCCCCCCAAUGGACGUCUCCAACGGCAACCAUUGUCAGAUGGGGGCGAGCGACAGAGGGCUGGAUGAAGUGUGUCUGUACCAGACCGCUGCCUGCACUCUCUACUCUGAAGCGCACACACCCACGCCGCUAAGAGCCACUGCUAGCGCUAACACUAACGCUAACGCAUCAGCUGGCUCACACGCCAUCCUGCGCACACACACUGCGGAUCACGGUCUGCAACAAGGCUGCUCCCAUCCAGAGGUGGAAAUGCCAAGUCUGGAACAUAAGGACAGGGGGUCUCGCGCGGGGCCUGUGGGAGGAACCGGGGAUCCAUCACCAGGUCCUCAGAAGGAUACGGGACAGAGGAGGAGUGUGUGUUGUCUGACCCCAAGGAGAGAGUGACGCCGACGCUGACAUAGAGGACACAGACUGCAGGCUCCAGGAGCCGGGUAGCCUCCAGCGAAUCAGCUCACGGCGGCGCAAGCGUCCGCGGCCGACGCGCCAGGACACCACGGAGAGCGAGGACGACGGGGGGCGGAGCCAGCGGACCCCCCGCUGGAACCCCCGGCUCAGCCCCCACCGCGGCCACAGCAGGACCAUCCUGGAGGAGAGCGUCUCUCAGGUCAGGCCGCUGGUCAUCCGUCGACCGAGCGCCGAGGUGCAGACGGCCCGGCAGCCCGGAGGCUUCCGGAGGCCCCAAGCCAGCGCUGUGGCCUCGGCCCCUCCCCUGCCCCCCGUCUCCUCCUGCUCCUCCUCCUCCUCCUCCUCCCCCUCUCCCUGGUCCUCCUGCUCCUCUUCAGACCCUGGGCCGGUGCCUGACCACCCAGAGUGCCCCCCCUUGUUGCUAGUUAGUAGUGAUCGAGGGUUUGAGUUUAUUAUGAACCAUGCACUACUCAGUAAUACACAGACACAAUAGGAUAGCACACGCAGACAGAAACUUUGGUCCGACGUCCUAUUAAGUCUUUCUUUAGGUUAUUUGGACAUUCUAGAUGUUCAGCUAAGAUAUAUCUACUUUUAGAAAACUUGCUUUGAGGGAUAUUAAUUAUCGGAAAACUUCUACGAGGUAGGAUGUAAGGUGACUUUUGCAAUAUGUUUGGAACAUUCUACUAUUUACUUUUUACUAUUGAGUCAUUAAGACGGACUUUUACCCAAAGCAUCUUAAUGGAGGACCAAGCACCCCAUGUAUUUUGGUUUGCGUUGUAGAACAUUUGUUUGACCUCUACAGGUCAAACAAAUGCAACUGCAGGCUGCUAUUGCAACGGCUGAUUAAGAACGUGCCCGUCCUCCGCUUAUUGAGUCUGCGAGGCCAAAUAAUUAAAUCAAACUUGAAAGCAUUUUCAAAAGGCACAAUUGUGUCAUGCUCACCAAACUUUUAAGUGUUUUUCUUUGUAAUUGAGCGUGUAUGGUUAAAUCCCAUUUCCGUUUCCAAGUCUGUGACAAAUCCUCAGGAAUGCGCCACUGUGUCCAGGUGAUGUCCAUUUCCAUUAAUUGGCAUCAUCUGGGAAGAGUUGGAGCCAAUCAGAAGCACAUGCAGUUAGUAGUGUUUCACCACAAGGGGCCACUGAAAAACGAUGUAUGUACAGUGUUUUUGUAUGUAUUUAUUUAUGUAUUUUCUUUUGACAAAAACAUGUAUUUAUCCUUCAGAGAUUUGAUUUCUAGCGGCACACAAAGUGAUAUUAAUUAUAGAUAAACUAUUAUUAUUGGAUAUAAUGUCAAGCCCUGUCUAUUCAGACUUGCUGUUCACAAAUGAGAAAAGUGGAAUUCUCUUGUCUCAUGUCAACUUUAAGUGAAGAUAGAGCUCAACUAUGCAGUCCCUUAUUACUCCGCCACAGUAAUUCGUAUUAACGUGUAUUUUCCUUCUCAAUCUAUUCAGUUGAGGUCCAUCUAGGGCAGCCCGUAGGCCUAUGCAGUUUAAUCCUGUUUUAAUGUUUAGUUAUAUUUGGAUUGAACAGUCUGUUUAAAAAAGCUCUUUAAUCUUCUCUUGUGCGCGUCUGUGAAGAAAUGAAGGAAAGCGGAUGUGGAAUGAACGUUUGGUUGUUGCUGAUCUUAUUACAAUAUUUGCAAACUGCUUGCUGAUGUAUUGUAAAAAAGAAAAGAAAAGAAAAAGGAUAUUUUCCAACCCUACAACCCUACAAGCAUAGGGCCUUCAGGAAACUCAAAUGACAAUCCUUACGCCUAUAAGCUAUACUGAAUAGGGAUGAAGCCAUCUUGAUGUAAUUUCACUAAACAGUGUAUUUAAAUUAAUGUGAUUAUGAGAUAGCUUUGUUGUUUGAUGAUGUAAAUACUCAUACAUUUUGUCGUCUCUGCACCUCAGUAGCCCUCCUUUGUCAUGCAGCAUUAUAUAUAGUUUUCCCUCCAUUUUGUGGCAGUGUUUUCCUGCGUCUGCACAUUAUGCUACUGACCAAGUUUCAUUGGAGCACAAUGUUUUCAUUAAAACCUAAAUUGUAUUUUGACAACAACAAUGCUUCCUCUGGUUUCUUCAAGGUUCCUACAACUGCUGGCUUCGUAACAUUUGACGCGGCAUCGUCAUAGUAACACUGAGUGUCGCUCCAUGGUAACGGUUCAGAAUGAGCUAGAGCUAAUCCCUGACCUGUCACUUUGCACUGCAGAAGAACCAAGCUUGAGGUUAAAAAC
ensembl:lncRNA